rnacentral:misc_RNA from 1 species
UAUUAAGAAUGAGCGGGGAGUUCUCACUGCUGCAGCACCUCGGCGUUACCGUCGACAAGUGUGAUUCCUCCGCCGAUCUCGCUCCUCCUACACAUUCAUCGAAGGCGGCUUUUCGGGUGUGGGCACCGUCACAGCACCCGCCAUCGAAGUGCUGUACAGCAGAGGAGACGUGCCAGGUUCUGGAGAAGAAGCGCAAGGGCGCCCACCCCUCGUAUGCGGAUCCCACCGGGGAGGUGCUUCUACGUCGUAAAAAUGGAGUGGAGGCUCAGUACAUUGUGUACAACUCCAAGAUUCCAUCGGUCUAUGGUAUCAACAAGCGACUUGCCGAGAAGAAGGCUGAGCGGGAGCGCGAGGAGAACUCCCCUUUGUUCAAAUACGGUCUGGCACUAAUCGAAGGCGAAGCUGGACAGAAGGAGGCGCGACGGGCGCUGCUGCAGGAACUGCGCCGGUGCAACCAGGAGCAGGCGCGUUUGAGCAAAGAGGAAGGACUUCGCGAGCGUGCUCGACGCUUAGCACACGAGCGCGCUGUUGUGCAGCACAACGCGGGCGAGGCAGCACGUGAGGAGGAGGAUGCGACGCGGAAGAAAAUGAUGGAUAGGGAAGCUGUGAGGGAAGCAGCAGUGAAAGCUCUCACCCUGCGAGAAGAGCGGCGAGCGGAUGCAAAUGUGGACGCGAGAGUUGUUGCGAGUGGAUGGGACGGCAAGGACGAAGAUGACCGCCGCCACCUCGCUGCAGUGGAGCGCACGCGACAGCUUGCCGAAGAGAACUUCCGUGCAGCGGAGCAGCGACGUGCGGAGCGCAAGGCGCAGGAGCAGGACGCGCGUGAAAGGGCACAAGCAGAGCGCAUGGAACUGCAGAGGCAACUUGCACAGGAGCAUGUGAAGGAUCUGGAAAGGCACCGUCGCAACGCUGAGGCGUUGCGAGGUGCACAGGAGGCCGCGCGCGAGCGCCGUUCGAGGGCGAACGCCGCCGAUGCGCACCUACAAGUGGUGCCGUCGGAGUCCCUCUUCGACGCAGUGGAAAGGCGACAGCGGGAUGAAGCGAUGCGGGCACAGCAGAAGCGGAUGGAGGACAUGGCCGUGAAUGUGCGCCUGGCAGCGCAGAAACGAGCAAACGCGCAGGCCGAGAGGGAUAGGGAGCGGCAGUACGCCGCAGAGUAUGCCAAGGCAGAGUUGGAGAGCUUUCAGCGUGAAGUGGAGCACGCGCGCCAGAGACGCCAGCAGGAGCGUCUGGAGCUACAAGACGCAGCAGAGGCGGCUGCAAAGGUGCGACAGGCUCACGCAGACGCCGCACGACAGCGAGAGCAGUCGAUGGCGCCCCUUUUCUUCUGGCCAGCGUCGCAGUCACCGGGGGCCGAGAAGGCCAAGAUAGCUGAAACUCGUCGCUUUCGCGAGGACCUUCGCCGACAGGCCGAAAAAAAGCGCGACGAGCGUGCUCAGGAAGAGGAAGCGGAACGGGCGAGGGAACGCGCACUCAUUGAGUACGAUACUCGAUCAGCGCAGGAGGCUGUAGAGCGUGAGCGCAAGGAGACGAGAGAAAAAGCAGAGCACCUCCGGCGCAUUUUGGAGGCGCAGAUCGCACAGAAGCGCAAAGGAACCGUUGGGGACCGGCAAGCAUGUGCCGCUGUGGAUGUAUCACACGUGCCCGUUACGAAAGCAAUGAUACUGUACCGUUGCCCCGUGACUGGAGAACUUCUGCCUGCCAGCGCUUACGACUUUGGCGUUCAGCGAGGACGUUAGGGACCGUGCGUCUUGCGUGACCGUGACCGGCUGUGCUGCAUGGACUUCAUGCUGAGGUUCUCGCACCCCUUCUCCGUUUAAUAGUGGCGGCACGUGCACAUUUGGAAGCAAUAAAGGCGAGUGCGAGCGUACAGUGAAGGAGGUAAGGAGGGGCGCCAUGAUGUAGCAGGCUUCCUUGUUGCGCCAUGCUGGCGCCUGUAGAACCUUUUAGAUCGUGCACAUGUACACGCCCUUACCGUUCCCUUAGACG